GACGAAGGGGGCAAGCGUUGUCCGGAUUUACUGGGCGUAAAGAGCGCGCAGGCGGUCGGAUCAGUCGAAUGUGAAAGCCCCCGGCUCAACUGGGGAGGGUCAUUCGAUACUGUCCGACUCGAAGGCAGGAGAGGGAAGCGGAAUUCCCGGUGUAGUGGUGAAAUGCGUAGAUAUCGGGAGGAACACCAGUGGCGAAGGCGGCUUUCUGGCCUGUUCUUGACGCUGAGGCGCGAAAGCUAGGGGAGCGAACGGG
rnacentral:rRNA from 1 species